CUGGGUUUCGCCGCUGCUCCUGUUCCUCGAGCAGCCUUCAAGCAGUGGAAAUUAUGGAGAAAUGAACAUUCUGAAAGCGCCUAGUAAAUGGCGGCGAAGUGAAGACACUGGAAAGUGAUAUGGGCCUUUCCAAAGUGACAUGGCUGAUUGAUGACAGACCCCAUUGGAACCAAGGUGGUUUGACUCCAGAGCCCGCACCCUCCACCACAACA
rnacentral:antisense_RNA from 1 species